GCCGCCAUAGCUCAGUCGGUUAGAGCGUGGGUCUAAUAAGGCCAAGGUCGCAGGUUCGACUCCUGCUGGCGGCA
rnacentral:tRNA from 1 species